rnacentral:rRNA from 1 species
CCUCGGGGGCAGCAGUGAGGAAUAUUGGUCAAUGGCCGAGAGGCUGAACCAGCCAAGUCGCGUGAGGGAUGACGGCCCUACGGGUUGUAAACCUCUUUUGUCGGGGAGCAAAGAGAGUCACGUGUGGCUCAUUGAGAGUACCCGAAGAAAAAGCAUCGGCUAACUCCGUGCCAGCAGCCGCGGUAAUACGGAGGAUGCGAGCGUUAUCCGGAUUUAUUGGGUUUAAAGGGUGCGCAGGCGGAGGUGCAAGUCAGUGGUCAAAUUGCGGGGCUCAACCCCGUACUGCCGUUGAAACUGCAUCCCUU